rnacentral:rRNA from 1 species
UACGGAGGGUGCAAGCGUUGUCCGGAUUUAUUGGGUUUAAAGGGUGCGUAGGCGGCUAUUUAAGUCAGUGGUGAAAUCCUGCAGCUUAACUGUAGAAUUGCCAUUGAUACUGGAUAGCUUGAGUACAGACGAGGUAGGCGAAAUUUAUGGUGUAGCGGUGAAAUGCAUAGAUACCAUAAAGAACACCUAUUGCGAAGGCAGCUUACUAGGCUGUAACUGACGCUGAGGCACGAAAGUGUGGGGAUCAAACAGG